rnacentral:rRNA from 1 species
UACGUAGGGUGCGAGCGUUGUCCGGAAUUAUUGGGCGUAAAGAGCUUGUAGGCGGUUUGUCGCGUCUGCUGUGAAAAUCCGGGCUCAACCCCGGACUUGCAGUGGGUACGGGCAGACUAGAGUGUGGUAGGGGAGACUGGAAUUCCUGGUGUAGCGGUGAAAUGCGCAGAUAUCAGGAGGAACACCGAUGGCGAAGGCAGGUCUCUGGGCCACUACUGACGCUGAGAAGCGAAAGCGUGGGAGCGAACAGG